rnacentral:rRNA from 1 species
CCUACGGGAGACAGCAGUGAGGAAUAUUGGUCAAUGGCCGGAAGGCUGAACCAGCCAUGCCGCGUGAAGUUCAGUGCCCUAUGGGCGUUAAACUUCUUUUGUGCGGGAGCAAUAAUGGUCACGUGUGGCCAGACGAGAGUACCGUACGAAUAAGCAUCGGCUAACUCCGUGCCAGCAGCCGCGGUAAUACGUAGGGGGCGAGCGUUAUCCGGAAUUACUGGGUGUAAAGGGAGCGUAGACGGCGAGGUAAGCCUGAAGUGGAAGCCCGCGGCCCAACCGCGGAACUGCUUUGGGAACUGUUUUGCUGGAGUAUGGGAGGGGUAAGCGGAAUUCCUGGUGUAGCGGUGAAAUGCGUAGAUAUCAGGAGGAACACCGGUGGCGAAGGCGGCUUACUGGACAGCAACUGACGCUGAGGCGCGAAAGCGUGGGGAGCAAACAGGAUUAGAUACCCUUGUAGUC